GUAAAGCACUUUCAGUGAGGAAGAAAGCCUUGAGGUUAAUACCUCGAGGGAGGACAUCACUCACAGAAGAAGCACCGGCUAACUCCGUGCCAGCAGCCGCGGUAAUACGGAGGGUGCGAGCGUUAAUCGGAAUUACUGGGCGUAAAGCGCGCGUAGGCGGCUUGAUAAGCCGGUUGUGAAAGACCCCGGGCUCAACCUGGGAACGGCAUCCGGAACUGUCAGGCUAGAGUGCAGGAGAGGAAGGUAGAAUUCCCGGUGUAGCGGUGAAAUGCGUAGAGAUCGGGAGGAAUACCAGUGGCGAAGGCGGCCUUCUGGACUGACACUGACGCUGAGGUGCGAAAGCGUGGGUAGCAAACAGGAUUAGAUACCCUGGUAG
rnacentral:rRNA from 1 species